UGAUUAUGAUGAGGAAAAUCCCAAAGCAAUCCCUUGAACCUCUCCCAAGAAGAAUAUAAGGACUUGCCCUCCCUCUGUUUAAAAGUGACUAUCUCACUUCUAAUUUU
rfam:Nicotiana attenuata strain TT chromosome 2, whole genome shotgun sequence.